rnacentral:rRNA from 1 species
CAAUAGCGUAUAUUAAAGUUGUUGCAGUUAAAAAGCUCGUAGUUGAAUUUCUGGGCGGCCCGCCGGUCGUCCAUGUGUUGUACUGGGCGGCGCCGGCCAUCCUUGUGGAGAGGGCUCGCAUUUGGUUGCGUGUCGGAUCUGCAUCAUUUACUGUGAAAAAAUUAGAGUGUUUAAAGCAGGCUGUCGCUUGAAUACAUUAGCAUGGAAUAAUAAGAUAGGACUUCGGUCUAUUUUGUUGGUUGCGAACCGAGGUAAUGAUUAAUAGGGAUAGUUGGGGGUAUUCAUAUUUAAUUGUCAGAGGUGAAAUUCUUGGAUUUAUGAAAGAUGAACAACUGCGAAAGCAUUUACCAAGGAUGUUUUCAUUAA